AUGCAAGUCGAGGGGCAGCAUUUUAGUUUGCUUGCAAACUAAAGAUGGCGACCGGCGCACGGGUGAGUAACACGUAUCCAACCUGCCGAUAACUCGGGGAUAGCCUUUCGAAAGAAAGAUUAAUACCCGAUGGCAUAGUUCUUCCGCAUGGUAGAACUAUUAAAGAAUUUCGGUUAUCGAUGGGGAUGCGUUCCAUUAGGCAGUUGGUGGGGUAACGGCCCACCAAACCUUCGAUGGAUAGGGGUUCUGAGAGGAAGGUCCCCACAUUGGAACUGAGACACGGUCCAAACUCC
rnacentral:rRNA from 1 species